rnacentral:rRNA from 1 species
AUUGAACGAUGGCGGCAGGCCUAACACAUGCAAGUCGAACGAGUGGCGGACGGGUGAGUAAUAUCUGGGAAACUGCCCGAUGGGGGGGGAGUACUACUGGAAACGGUAGCUAAUACCGCAUACCAUCGGAUGUGCCCAGGUGGGAUUAGCUGGUAGGUGAGGUAACGGCCCACCUAAGCGACGAUCCCUAGCUGGUCUGAGAGGAUGACCAGCCACACGGGAACUGAGACACGGUCCAGACUCCUACGGGAGGCAGCAGUGGGGAAUAUUGCACAAUGGGCGAAAGCCUGAUGCAGCCAUGCCGCGUGUAUGAAGAAGGCCUUCGGGUUGUAAAGUACUUUCAGCGGGGAGGCGUUACCCGCAGAAGAAGCACCGGCUAACUCCGUGCCAGCAGCCGCGGUAAUAC